UCGAGAAUCUUCCGCAAUGGACGAAAGUCUGACGGAGCGACACCGCGUGAUUGAUGAAGCUUUUCGGAGUGUAAAGAUCUUUUAUGAGGGAAGAAGUUUAUUGACGGUACCUCAUGAAUAAGGGGCUCCUAAUCUCGUGCCAGCAGGAGCGGUAAUACGAGAGCCCCGAGCGUUAUCCGGAAUUAUUGGGCGUAAAGGGUGCGUAGGUGGUUGUGUUAGUCGUUUGUUAAAUCCCAGAGCUUAACUUUGGAAUCGCGGACGAAACGGCACAACUAGAGAGUGUGAGGGGUAUAGGGAACUCAUGGUGUAGGGGUGAAAUCCGUUGAUAUCAUGGGGAACACCAAAAGCGAAGGCACUAUACUGGCACAUGUCUGACACUCAAGCACGAAAGCGUGGGUAGCGAAUGGG
rnacentral:rRNA from 1 species